rnacentral:rRNA from 1 species
AUUGAACGCUGGCGGAAUGCUUUACACAUGCAAGUCGAACGGCAGCACGGACUUCGGUCUGGUGGCGAGUGGCGAACGGGUGAGUAAUAUAUCGGAACGUAUCCAAUAAUGGGGGAUAACUAGUCGAAAGAUUGGCUAAUACCGCAUACGCCCUACGAGGGAAAGCAGGGGAUCUUCGGACCUUGCGUUAAUGGAGCGGCCGAUAUCUGAUUAGCUAGUUGGUGGGGUAAAGGCCCACCAAGGCGACGAUCAGUAGCUGUGCUGAGAGGACGACCAGCCACACUGGAACUGAGACACAGUCCAGACUCCGACGGGAGGCAGCAGUGGGGAAUUUUGGACAAUGGGAGCAAGCCUGAUCCAGCCAUUCCGCGUGAGUGAAGAAGGCCUUCGGGUUGUAAAGCUCUUUCGCAAGGGAAGAAAACUUAGCCACUAACAUUGGCUGAGGUUGACGGUACCUUGAUAAGAAGCACCGGCUAACUACGUGCCAGCCGCCGCGGUAA